GAUGAACGCUGGCGGCGUGCUUAACACAUGCAAGUCGAACGGAAAGGCUCCUGCUUGCAGGGGUACUCGAGUGGCGAACGGGUGAGUAACACGUGGGUGAUCUGCCCUGCACUUCGGGAUAAGCCUGGGAAACUGGGUCUAAUACCGGAUAGGACCAUCGUUUAGUGUCGGUGGUGGAAAGUUUUUUCGGUGUGGGAUGAGCUCGCGACCUAUCAGCUUGUUGGUGGGGUAAUGGCCUACCAAGGCGUCGACGGGUAGCCGGCCUGAGAGGGUGUACGGCCACAUUGGGACUGAGAUACGGCCCAGACUCCUACGGGAGGCAGCAGUGGGGAAUAUUGCACAAUGGGCGCAAGCCUGAUGCAGCGACGCCGCGUGGGGGAUGACGGCCUUCGGGUUGUAAACUCCUUUCGCCAGGGACGAAGCGAAAGUGACGGUACCUGGAUAAGAAGCACCGGCUAACUACGUG
rnacentral:rRNA from 1 species